CGUGGGACAUGGAUAGGCCGAAUCACAACUGGCACGGACUAGGGAAACCCGAAUGUCUAAUUAAAACAAAGCAUUGCGACGGCCAGAGACCAGAGUUAACGCAAUGUGAUUUCUGCCCAGUGCUCUGAAUGUCAAAGUGAAGAAAUUCCAUGAAGUGCGGGGAAACGACAGGAGUAACUCUAUGACUUUUUUAAAUAACCAAAUGCCUCGUCAUUUAAUUUGUGAUGAUCAUGAAUGGAUCAACGAGAUUCCCACUGUCUCUCUCUACUAUCUAGCGAAAUCACAGUCAAGGGAACGGGUCAUAGGGGAAAGAAGACCCCGGUCGAACUUGAAUCUAGUCUGAUUCUGUGGAGAGGCAUUAUUGGCAUAGUUCACCUCUGUGAACGGAAUUAUGAAUUUGAUAGCCUUUUUUACUGAUACAGUCAAAUUCUUUAAUGAGGUCCCAAUAGGAAGCUCUAAUUAUGUGCCCCACUCGAUGAAGGCUGUGGGAAAGAACUCCGAAGACAGUGUCAGGCAGGGAGUUGGUCUGAUGCGGAACAUAUAUCACUAAUGGCAACGCAAGUAUCCCAAGGCGGCUCAGCCGGGACGGAAACCUGGCUUGGAGUAAAGGGGUAAAAGCCGGCUCGAUCUCGUUCUUCAGUAAGGAAGGGGACCCCGAAAGCGGGGCCCGUUGAUCCUUCCUUUUUUAAAGUCUAAUGAGAAAAGGGACGGAAAAUUUUUUAAGGGAUAAUUGACUCGCGGCUUCCAAACGUUCAUAGCGACGUUGCUUAUUGAUAUUUUGAUGUCGGCUCUUCCUAUCAUGGUGAAGCAGAAUUCGCAAAGCGUUGGAUUGUUCACCUACUAACAGGGAAUGUGAGCUUAGCCUAGACCGUCGUGAGAUAGGUUAGUUUUACCCACAAGAAGACCAGUUGGUACGAUGGUAAAAUCUGCCUAGUACGAGAGGAACCGUAGGUUCGGACAUUUGGUACUGCGCUCGGUUGCACGAAGCUACCCUUCACGAGAGAGGGUGAGCGCAAAAUGGCCUAUGCCUUUGAGGUCCCGCCUAGACUCCAUGGUUCCUGCUACUACGAGCAUGCCUUCGCGCAUGUGUGAUGUGUGUGGGCGUUGAAUUGUCAGUAGACGACUUUCCCG